rnacentral:misc_RNA from 1 species
GAUGAAGAACGAAGCGAAAUGCGAUAAGUAAUGUGAAUUGCAGAAUUCAGUGAAUCAUCGAAUCUUUGAACGCACCUUGCGCCCUUUGGCAUUCCGAAGGGCAUGCCUGUUUGAGUAUCAUGAACACCUCAACUCUUCAUGGAUUUCCAUGAUGAGCUUGGACUUUGGGGGUCUUGCUGGCCUGCGGUCGGCUCCUCUCAAAUGAAUCAGCUUACCAGUGUUUGGUGGGCAUCACAGGUGUGAUAACUAUCUGCGCUUGUGGUUUUCCACCAAGUAACCUUCAGCAGUGGAGGUUCACUGGAGCUCACAGACGUCUCUCCUCAGUGAGGACAGCCCUUUGAAUGUUUGAUCUCAAAUCAGGUAGGACUACCCGCUGAACUUAAGCAUAUCAAUAAGCGGAGGA